GAUGAACGCUGGCGGCGUGCCUAAUACAUGCAAGUCGAGCGAACAGACGAGGAGCUUGCUCCUUUGACGUUAGCGGCGGACGGGUGAGUAACACGUGGGUAACCUACCUAUAAGACUGGGAUAACUUCGGGAAACCGGAGCUAAUACCGGAUAAUAUUUCGAACCGCAUGGUUCGAUAGUGAAAGAUGGCUCUGCUAUCACUUAUAGAUGGACCUGCGCCGUAUUAGCUAGUUGGUAAGGUAACGGCUUACCAAGGCAACGAUACGUAGCCGACCUGAGAGGGUGAUCGGCCACACUGGAACUGAGACACGGUCCAGACUCCUACGGGAGGCAGCAGUAGGGAAUCUUCCGCAAUGGGCGAAAGCCUGACGGAGCAACGCCGCGUGAGUGAUGAAGGUCUUCGGAUCGUAAAACUCUGUUAUUAGGGAAGAACAAACGUGUAAGUAACUGUGCACGUCUUGACGGUACCUAAUCAGAAAGCCACGGCUAACUACGUGCCAGCAGCCGCCGCGUAAAC
rnacentral:rRNA from 1 species